AGCGAACGCUGGCGGCAGGCCUAACACAUGCAAGUCGAACGGAUCCUUCGGGAUUAGUGGCGGACGGGUGAGUAACACGUGGGAACGUGCCCUUUGGUUCGGAACAACUCAGGGAAACUUGAGCUAAUACCGGAUGUGCCCUUCGGGGGAAAGAUUUAUCGCCAUUGGAGCGGCCCGCGUCUGAUUAGCUAGUUGGUGAGGUAACGGCCCACCAAGGCGACGAUCAGUAGCUGGUCUGAGAGGAUGAUCAGCCACACUGGGACUGAGACACGGCCCAGACUCCUACGGGAGGCAGCAGUGGGGAAUCUUGCGCAAUGGGCGAAAGCCUGACGCAGCCAUGCCGCGUGAAUGAUGAAGGUCUUAGGAUUGUAAAAUUCUUUCAGCGGGGACGAUAAUGACGGUACCCGCAGAAGAAGCUCCGGCUAACUUC
rnacentral:rRNA from 1 species